CGGGAAACCGGAGCUAAUACCGAUAAUAUAUUGAACCGCAUGGUUUCAAUGGUGAAAGACGGUUUUGCUGUCACUUAUAGAUGGAUCCGCGCCGCAUUAGCUAGUUGGUAAGGUAACGGCUUACCAAGGCAACGAUGCGUAGCCGACCUGAGAGGGUGAUCGGCCACACUGGAACUGAGACACGGUCCAGACUCCUACGGGAGGCAGCAGCC
rnacentral:rRNA from 1 species